rnacentral:misc_RNA from 1 species
GAUGAAGAACGUAGUGAAAUGCGAUAAGUAAUGUGAAUUGCAGAAUUCAGUGAAUCAUCGAAUCUUUGAACGCGCAUUGCGACCGCCAGUAUUCUGGCGGGCAUGCCUGUCUGAGCGUCAUUUCAACCCUCAUGCCCCUAGGGCGUGGUGUUGGGGAUCGGCCAAAGCCCGCGAGGGACGGCCGGCCCCUAAAUCUAGUGGCGGACCCGUCGUGGCCUCCUCUGCGAAGUAGUGAUAUUCCGUAUCGGAGAGCGAUGAGCCCCUGCCGUUAAACCCCCAACUUUCCAAGGUUGACCUCAGAUCAGGUAGGAAUACCCGCUGAACUUAAGCAUAUCAAUAAGCGGAGGA